UACGGAGGGUGCAAGCGUUAUCCGGAUUCACUGGGUUUAAAGGGUGCGUAGGCGGACAGGUAAGUCAGUGGUGAAAUCUCUGGGCUUAACCCAGAAACUGCCGUUGAUACUAUUUGUCUUGAAUAUCCUGGAGGUAGGCGGAAUAUGUCAUGUAGCGGUGAAAUGCUUAGAUAUGACAUAGAACACCGAUAGCGAAGGCAGCUUACUACGGGAUGAUUGACGCUGAGGCACGAAAGCGUGGGGAGCAAACAGG
rnacentral:rRNA from 1 species